rnacentral:rRNA from 1 species
ACCUGGUUGAUCCUGCCAGUAGUCAUAUGCUUGUCUCAAAGAUUAAGCCAUGCAUGUCUCAGUGCAUGCCUUGAUACGGUGAAACCGCGAAUGGCUCAUUAAAUCAGCUAUGGUUUACUGGACCGUACCCGUUAAAUGGAUAACUGUAAUAACUCUAGAGCUAAUACAUGCAACUAUGCCCUGACUCGGAAGAGAAGGGGUGCACUUAUUAGAUCAGAAGCCAACCGGAUGCGAGUCGCAAGGCUGGUGUCCGUUGUCGUUCUGGUGACUCUGGAUAAUUGUUACAGAUCGCAGUCGGCCAUGAGUCGGCGACGGGUCCUUCAAAUGUCUGCCCUAUCAACUUUCGAUGGUAGGUGACUUGCCUACCAUGGUGAUAACGGGUAACGGGGAAUCAGGGUUCGAUUCCGGAGAGGGAGCCUGAGAAACGGCUACCACUUCCAAGGGAGGCAGCAGGCGCGCAAAUUACCCACUCCCAGCACGGGGAGGUGGUGACGAAAAAUACCGAUGUGGGACUCCCAAACGAGGCUCCGUAAUCGGAAUGAGUCGACUAUAAAUCCUUUAACGAGGAUCAAUUGGAGGGCAAGUCUGGUGCCAGCAGCCGCGGUAACUCCAGCUCCAAUAGCGUAUAUUAAAGUUGCUGCAGUUAAAAAGCUCGUAGUUGGAUCUCGGUGUCAUUGUUGCCUGCCUGCCGGCCUUGGUGGUGCUGGCCUAUGGAUGCAUGGGUGAGCCUGUGUGCCAUAUGGUCGGCUACUUCGGGUUGGUGUGGCGGCGGUGAUACCUUUGAGCCAUGUCUGUGGUGGAGUAUCUAUCCGCAGGUGUAGGCGAGUGCCGGGCGGCGCCCCGCAUUUGUGGGGCUCGUCGGCUUGUCUGCAUGCCUAUGGAUGCCCUUCAAAAGGUGUCUGUGGGCGGAUGGCACGUUUACUUUGAACAAAUUUGAGUGCUCAAACCAGGCCGAUGCUGCCUGAAAAGUGUUGCAUGGAAUAAUGGAAUAGGACUUCGGUUCUAUUUCGUUGGUUUUCGGAUCCGAAGUAAUGAUCAAAAGAGACAGGCGGGGACGUUUGUAUGGCUGCGCUAGAGGUGAAAUUCUGGGACCGUAGCCAGACAAACUAAAGCGAAAGCAUUCGUCAAGCAUGUUUUCAUUGGCCAUGAGCGAAAGUCAGAGGCUCGAAGACGAUCAGAUACCGUCCUAGUUCUGACCAUAAACGAUGCCAACUGACGAUCCGUGGUGGUAGCAUUUGAACCUUCCUCACGGGCAGUCGCCGGGAAACCAUUAAGUCUAUGGGUUCCGGGGGAAGUAUGGUUGCAAAGCUGAAACUUAAAGGAAUUGACGGAAGGGCACCACCAGGAGUGGAGCCUGCGGCUUAAUUUGACUCAACACGGGAAAACUCACCCGGGCCGGACACUAUGAGGAUUGACAGAUUGAAAGCUCUUUCUUGAUUUGGUGGUUGGUGGUGCAUGGCCGUUCUUAGUUGGUGGAGCGAUUUGUCUGGUUAAUUCCGAUAACGAACGAGACUCUAGCCUGCUAAUUAGUUCUCCUGUCCACUGUUCUUGUGCAAGCAGGCGUAGUUCGUGUUCGCUCUGUAUGACUGAAUAGCCGGUUGUGUGUGUCUGUCAAGUAUCGUCCGCGAGGAUGUUGGUAGACCACGUGCCACGUGCAUUACCGGUGGACAGUCUGGGCGGAUUGGGCGAUGUUUGCUUCCGAGAAUGGCGCGGGUGUCUACUUCUUAGAGGGACAAGCGGGAGAAGCCGCACGAAAUUGAGCAAUAACAGGUCUGUGAUGCCCUUAGAUGUCCGGGGCCGCACGCGCGCUACAAUGACGGUGGCAACGAGUCUGACCUUCUGGCCUGAAAGGGUUGGGUAAACUGGUCAAUCACCGUCGUGACAGGGAUCGGGGCUUGUAAUUGUUCCCCGUGAACGAGGAAUUCCUAGUAAGUGCAAGUCAUAAGCUUGCGCUGAUUACGUCCCUGCCCUUUGUACACACCGCCCGUCGCUACUACCGAUUGAAUGGUUUAGUAAGGUCCUUGGAUUGGCGCCAUUGAAGCCGCAAGGCUCAGGCGGUGUUGAGAAGACGACCGAACUUGAUCAUUUAGAGGAAGUAAAAGUCGUAACAAGGUUUCCGUAGGUGAACCAGCGGAAG